rnacentral:rRNA from 1 species
AAAUGAAUUGACGGGGACCCGCACAAGCAGCGGAGCGUGUUGUUUAAUUCGAAGAUACUCGAAGAACCUUACCAAGACUUGACAUCGCCUGACAGGCGCAGAAAUGCGUUUUCCAUAGCAAUAUGGCAGGUAGACAGGUGGUGCAUGGUUGUCGUCAGCUCGUGUCGUGAGAUGUUGGGUUAAGUCCCGCAACGAGCGCAACCCUUACGGACAGUUGCCAAUAUUAAGUUAGGAACUCUGGCCGGACUGCCGUGGAUAUAACACGGAGGAAGGCGGGGAUGACGUCAAAUCAUCAUGCCCCUUACGUCUUGGGCUACAAACGCGCUACAAUGGCGGUUACAAAGAGCAGCGAAAUUGUGAAAUGGAGCAAAUCUCAAAAAAGCCGUCUCAGUUCAGAUUGUGGGCUGCAACCCGCCCACAUGAAGAUGGAGUUGCUAGUAAUCACGGAUCAGCAUGCCGUGGUGAAUGCGUUCCCGGGUCUUGUACACACCGCCCGU